ACUCCUACGGGAGGCAGCAGUGGGGAAUUUUGGACAAUGGACGCAAGCCUGAUCCAGCCAUGCCGCGUGCAGGAUGAAGGCCUUCGGGUUGUAAACUGCUUUUGUACGGAACGAAAAGACUCCUUUUAAUAAAGGGGGUUCAUGACGGUACCGUAAGAAUAAGCACCGGCUAACUACGUGCCAGCAGCCGCGGUAAUACGUAGGGUGCAAGCGUUAAUCGGAAUUACUGGGCGUAAAGCGUGCGCAGGCGGUUAUAUAAGACAGAUGUGAAAUCCCCGGGCUCAACCUGGGAACUGCAUUUGUGACUGUAUAGCUGGAGUACGGCAGAGGGGGAUGGAAUUCCGCGUGUAGCAGUGAAAUGCGUAGAUAUGCGGAGGAACACCGAUGGCGAAGGCAAUCCCCUGGGCCUGUACUGACGCUCAUGCACGAAAGCGUGGGGAGCAAACAGGAUUAGAUACCCUGGUAGUCCACGCCCUAAACGAUGUCAACUGGUUGUUGGGAAUUCACUUUCUCAGUAACGAAGCUAACGCGUGAAGUUGACCGCCUGGGGAGUACGGUCGCAAGAUUAAAACUCAAAGGAAUUGACGGGG
rnacentral:rRNA from 1 species